CCUACGGGAGGCAGCAGUGGGGAAUUUUUCGCAAUGGGGGAAACCCUGACGAAGCAACGCCGCGUGGAGGAUGAAGGCCUUCGGGUCGUAAACUCCUGUCGACCGGGAAGAAUGCAUCCGACCUAAUACGUCGGCGUGUUGACUGUACCGGUGGAGGAAGCCACGGCUAACUCUGUGCCAGCAGCCGCGGUAAUACAGAGGUGGCAAGCGUUGUUCGGAAUUACUGGGCGUAAAGGGCGCGUAGGCGGUCCGCCAAGUCCCGUGUGAAAGCCCCCGGCUC
rnacentral:rRNA from 1 species